rnacentral:rRNA from 1 species
AGCGAACGCUGGCGGCAGGCUUAACACAUGCAAGUCGAGCGGGCACUUUCGGGUGUCAGCGGCGGGCGGGUGGGGAACGCGGGGGAACGAGCACGCGGGUAAGGAAUAAAUCAGGGAAAGAUGAGCUAAUAACGGAUACGCCAAAUUGGGGAAAGGCUUGCUGCCGGAGGAUCGGCCCGCGUAAGAUUCGCCAGGUGGUGGGGUAACGGCGCACCAAGGCGGCGAUCGGUAGCUGGUCUGUGAGGAUGAUCAGCCACACGUGCACUGAGACACGGCCCAGACUCCUACGGGAGGCAGCAGUGGGGAAUAUUGCACAAUGGGCGCAAGCCUGAUCCAUCCAUGCCGCUUGAGUUAUGAAGUCCUUAGGGUUGUAAAGCUCUUUUAUCCGGGACGAUAAUGACGGUACCUGAGGAAUAAGCCCCGGCUAACUUCGUG